rnacentral:rRNA from 1 species
AUGCGAUAUGACGUCCUCGUCUACCACUACCACCUGGCCACAAGGCCUUGCGAGCGUUUCUCCGGGUUUAUCAACAGUUCCGACUUCAGUUUUUCUAUGGUGGACACCACCAACGAUCUAAAAGCGCUCAAGGUUUCGGACUUGAAAUGCCAGAAUCUUGUUAACAUCCAGGACCACAACAAGGUCUGGGGUAGCGACAACAACAAACAGAACUCCCUGGUUGACCUCGCCUUGGCCAUCAUCGCCCCCUACUACAUGAAGAUGAAUGAUGAGAGCAAGAAGGACAGGAACGCCUGGCACAGUGUCUGGCAUGAGAGACUGGAUGAACAACACGUCAAGUACAUGGCCAAGGACGCGUACACAAGCUACGAGAUGUACAUGCAGAUCGUUGACAUGAGGGAGUGUCUUCUUCCUGCCCCAGACGAGGGAUCGAGCCACAGAGCAGUGGCGGGAGCGUCACAAGAAGUAGAUGACUAG